rnacentral:tRNA from 10 species
UGUGUGUGUGUGUGUGUGUGUGUGUGUGUGUGUGUGUGUGUGUGUGUGUGUGUCGCACACACACACACACACACACACACACACACACA